rnacentral:rRNA from 1 species
AUUGAACGCUGGCGGCAUGCUUUACACAUGCAAGUCGAACGGCAGCGCGGGCUUCGGCCUGGCGGCGAGUGGCGAACGGGUGAGUAAUGCAUCGGAACGUGCCCAGUAGUGGGGGAUAGCCCGGCGAAAGCCGGAUUAAUACCGCAUACGACCUGAGGGUGAAAGCGGGGGACCGAAAGGCCUCGCGCUAUUGGAGCGGCCGAUGUCGGAUUAGCUAGUUGGUGGGGUAAAGGCUUACCAAGGCGACGAUCCGUAGCUGGUCUGAGAGGACGACCAGCCACACUGGGACUGAGACACGGCCCAGACUUCUACGGGAGGCAGCAGUGGGGAAUUUUGGACAAUGGGGGCAACCCUGAUCCAGCCAUGCCGCGUGCGGGAAGAAGGCCUUCGGGUUGUAAACCGCUUUUGUUCGGGAAGAAAUCCUUUGGGCUAAUACCCCGGGGGGAUGACGGUACCGGAAGAAUAAGCACCGGCUAACUACGUG